GACGGAGGAUGCAAGUGUUAUCCGGAAUCACUGGGCGUAAAGGGCGCGUAGGUGGCGCGGGCAGUCAACGGUGAAAGUUCGGGGCUCAACCCUGAAUCGGCCGUCGAUACUCCCGGGCUUGAGCACUGUAGAGGCAGAUGGAAUUCCGGGUGUAGCGGUGGAAUGCGUAGAGAUCCGGAAGAACACCGGUGGCGAAGGCGGUCUGCUGGGCAGUAGCUGACACUGAGGCGCGACAGCGUGGGGAGCAAACAGG
rnacentral:rRNA from 1 species